rnacentral:rRNA from 1 species
GGUCCAGACUCCUACGGGAGGCAGCAGUAGGGAAUCUUCCGCAAUGGGCGAAAGCCUGACGGAGCAACGCCGCGUGAGUGAUGAAGGUCUUCGGAUCGUAAAACUCUGUUAUUAGGGAAGAACAUAUGUGUAAGUAACUGUGCACAUCUUGACGGUACCUAAUCAGAAAGCCACGGCUAACUACGUGCCAGCAGCCGCGGUAAUACGUAGGUGGCAAGCGUUAUCCGGAAUUAUUGGGCGUAAAGCGCGCGUAGGCGGUUUUUUAAGUCUGAUGUGAAAGCCCACGGCUCAACCGUGGAGGGUCAUUGGAAACUGGAAAACUUGAGUGCAGAAGAGGAAAGUGGAAUUCCAUGUGUAGCGGUGAAAUGCGCAGAGAUAU